GCGCUCAUAGCUCAGCUGGAUAGAGUGCAAGCCUCCGAAGCUUGAGGUCAGGCGUUCGAAUCGCCUUGGGCGCGCCA
rnacentral:tRNA from 1 species